rnacentral:misc_RNA from 1 species
AAGUCGUAACAAGGUUUCCGUAGGGUAAGUCGAUCCGGCCUCCUGAAAACGACUCGAAUAUGUGCUAACAGUGAUUAUAGUGAACCUGCGGAAGGAUCAUUAAAGAGAGAUCCGGGGCGCCCUCGGGCCCCCGACCCUCCCACCCUUUGUGAAUAAACCCUUCAGUUGCUUUGGCGGGGCGCGGUCAGCGAUGACCCCGCUGGUCCCUCACCCGGGGCUGGCGAGUCCCCGCCAGAGGAUCCAAAAAAUCUCUUUUAUAAAUCGUGCAGUCUGAACGUGGAUUAUGAAAUAGCGAAAAAACUUUCAACAACGGAUCUCUUGGUUCUG